UUCAAGACGUAGGCACAGGCAAAGAUUUCAUGAUGAAGAUGCCAAAAGCAAUUGCAACGAAAGCAAAAAGUGACAACUGGGAUCUAAUUAAACUAAAGACCUUC